CGCCAGCGGGUUCCUUGGAGCCGUGCUCUCCUAGCAGGCGACCACGGUACUGUUUUGGGGGGUUUCAGCCUCGGGCCGUGGGUCAGACUCUCGGGUUAAAAACCAGCGCCGCUCCUGCUUUUUCCUCUGCUUCACGGUGACUUCCUUUUCCUCUUCCCUCCUUGGUCUCCCACUCCUGGUCCGCACCUCUGUGGCCCCGGCUAGAAGAAGCGAAGCGCAAACAGGGGGCGGCGGGAGAGUGGUGUAUGUGUCGGUGCGUGUGAUCAGCUGCAGAGCCGCGCUAGCCCCGCCUGUCCCUGCCUUCCCCCGCUGUUUCACCAGCCUGAAUUGCACCUCCGCGCCUCAGUUGAGCCUGCAGUGUCUGGCAGCUCAGGAAAAAGCGAGCCCCUCCAAUGAAAAGCGACUCUAAAUCUGCCCCCCUAAGCUAACCAACUCUCCUUCCUCGCCCCCCUGCAUCAGGCAUAAAGUCCCCAGCAAGCAGCAAAUGCUGCUCUUUGAAAGAAGUACAGUAUGCCUCUAUAACUAUGGCUCUUAUUUAAACCCGGAUGCCUGGGUUUGGGGAGCAUCAUAAACAGAGACCCCAAAUGGCUUCAAGAUAGGCAUGUUCAGAACUCAGAGUUUCAAGUAGCAGAAGGGGCUCAAGAUGGGAACAGAGAAGAGGGGAGAUACUCAUAGGAAAGCUCACAACACUGCUGAAAAUGGCUCUAUUAGAAAGGCUCAGAAUGCCCGGAGUCAAUGUGUGGCUGUAAUUGAGAAAAGGCGGCUGGAUUGUAAUGUCCCAGGCCUGGCAGUUAAUGGAUGGGGCAAAGUGCAGAAAUAGCUAAUAUAGUGCCCAUGCGUAAACAUCAGCUUAUUUACCGCAUUUCAUGUUUGUUUUAAAAUGCCAUGGUCUUUUAUGGCAUGUUCCAUUCAGUCCAGAUACACAAAAUUGAUUUUGUUGGAAAAUCAUCAAAUGGUAGGGUUGUAAAAGCAAGGGGGUGCUGUAAGACUCCUCUGCAAAGGAAAAUAAGGUCAUAAUCAUUCUACUAGUUCUCUGCCAGUAAGUGCUCCCUUCUAAGUCUUUACCCCUAAACCUUAGCGUUUGGGAAGCCCUGCACCUCGUCAGCCCUAGGUAGAAAACUCUUUCUCUGCCAUUUGAUUCAAACAUUUAUCCUGGGUUACAGACUUUGCCUGCAGGCUCUGUGAUAAGAGGUCAGUGACUGCAAUUCUUUAGGAUUACAUAAAAGGGGAAAGUGACACUGUGGGAGGUGGAAACUGCUCUGGGCCUGAAUCAUAAGACUUGAUAUGAGUUCUGGCCCUGCCAUUUACAAACUGUGUGACCCUGGGCAAGUUGCUAAAUAUCUUUGAUCCCCAACUUUCUAUUCACAAAAACUGGAAGUUUGAACAUCUUCCCAAAGUUGGUACCUGAAAAAGAGAAUGCCUGUGGUUAUAUUAACUACUUUUGCUGUGAAGGAUGUCAUAUCCUGGGCUGUAAAGUUGCAAUAAGGCCAAGAGACAAGAAAUGAAUGUUUGGAGUUGGCCCCAUGCUGUGAGCUAACACAUAUUCUUCUCUCAUCUCUGUCUACUCUCCCGCUAAAUCAUGGUGCCCUUGCCAAACUAGCUUCUUUCAAUUCCUAAAACCCACUGAACCACAAUCUCCAUCCUGCACCUUUGCCUAUCUGUGUUCUCUUUUUGGAAUGUUCUUAUCCUGGCACUCUGUGUUGCUGACUUCCUGAACUCAGCAUGAAUUCGUCCUCCUCAAGAAGCCCCUUCACUAGCCUCCCAGGUACUCCCUAUCAUAUGGCUAGUUCAUUGAUAUGGUUUCUCUAUCCACCUCCAUCAGAGUCCUGGAAUGUAAGGGCAAGAACUUGAGCUGUCUUGUUCACUGCUAGACCCCCAACACCUAGAGCAUUACCUGUUACAUACUAGGUCCACAAUAAAUAUUUGUUGGGUCAAUAACAUGCAUCAAUCUACAUACAUCAUUAGAAACACCACAUACAGUAGUGCAGAAUUAAAAGUCAUCACUAAAUCAAGUCACUUAAAUAAUUUAAAGUAAAAGAAUACAUAAAUUUUAAGAAAGUAAUUCUUCCUGUGCUUGUUAGCUUUAGAACUGGUAUUCAAUCAGCUGCAAAUCCUUUUCAUUGUCCCCCUGUAAUAUCUCUCUUUAAAAAAUGCUACUUUCUUCAAAUUCCCAUUUCAUUUUAGGCCCAAAGUCAAAUAAUGUUCUUGCCUUCAGUCUCUUACUCCUUCAAAUUGUGCUACUUAGUAUUACUAGUUCCUUAGAAUCAUGUAUAUGAUUAGCAGUGGCUUUGGAAACCAAAGAGCUCUCUGAUUAUUUCAUUUGGUUAUUUUAUUUUCUUGUUUGUUUGUUUUUUGCUUUUUAGGGCUGCACCCUCAACAUAUGGAGGUUCCCAGGCUAAGGGUCAAAUCAGAGCUACAGCCACUGGCCUACUCCACAGCCACAGCAAUUUGGGAUCCAAGCCACAUCUGUGACCUACACCAUAGCUCACGGCAAAACCAGAUCCUUAACCCACUGAGCAAGGCCAGGGAUCGAACCUGCAGCCUCAUGUUUACUAGUUGGAUGGAUUCAUUUCUGCUGCACCACAAUGGAAGUGCCCGAUAAUUUCAUUUUCAAGCUUUUAAACAUUCCCACCUUUUGAAAAAACACUUUUCUAUGAAAAACCUUCCCCAUUCCCAAUAAUCAAGUUUAUAAGCAAAUAAUUUUAUGCUUCAAGAGACAUGGUCUAGUCCAGGGAUCAAAAAGGGAAAAUGCCAAUGUCACAGUUACAGAGCUAAUAAGUGGAAACUUUGAGAUUUGAACCCAAGAUAAUGUAUCUCCAGAAGCUGGCUGCUCUGCCAUCUCUUACCAGGUACCUAGAAAAAGAGUCCACAGUUCCUGAUCCCUAGCCAGUGUCUCCCUCUGCUCCACCACACUCCUUGUGUAGCUUUAGAUCUAAGGUCUGCCAGAAUAUGGCUUAACCUAUCUUUCCAAAAUUAGCUCCUACCUUCUUUUUAAUGUGGUCUCUGUUCCAGGCAACUUUAUUAGCAAUUCCUCAAACAUUCCCUACAUUAACUGCAUUUGUUCAAUUUCUUUCCUGUCACUUAAAUAUUCUUUUGCUAUCCCCACAAAAGCCAAAUUACUAUCUCUAGUGUACACAUGAAGGAAGUGAAAAAUUUCUUCAGCUUUGAUUUCAAGUGCCAUCUUCCCUGCCUUCAUCCCAUCCUCCCACUAGCUGUAAUCCAUCAAUUCCCUGAAUGCUUACUCCCCUAGAUUUACAAUUUUGUGGUAUUUUCUUUUUAGCCUAUAUCUGAGCUCAGAAUUCACCAAGAUUUCCCCCAUUAAAUAGUAAGCACCCUGAGCAUUCACCUGUUACUAUUUCAAACCAUCCAGCACUCCAGUUAUCCAACCUUGUCUUGCAAAUGAAAAUAUUUAAUGCAUUUUUAGUGAGGACUAAAAUGUCUUGAGCCCAUUUUAACGUGCCAAGCAACUUGCUUGGAACUUUACUGUUAGUCUUCCCAUUACAUAGCUAGCAAUAUGGUAGAACAGGGAUUCACAAAUCGUGCCUGCCCAUUUUCAAGGUUUUAAUUCUUUUAGACAAAUAGUACUGCCUGAUAAGUUAAAGAUUUUUUCAAGAUGUCAUCAUGUCAUACUUUAAAUGUUUCUGAGCCUUUGAUCUAUUUGUGACAUUGAGUCCAACUCCUUGAAAAUGUUUAAAGAUGAACCAAACUCAUCUUCCCCUGUCAGGACAGCUGCUUCCAUGAUGAGGUUCUGGAAGGCAGCCAGCCCCAUGGUGCUGAGGCCAGGCAAGAUGUGUGGGGAAUGGAUGACAGAAGGCCACCUAAUCAGGUGCUGUCUGAUGAACUGAAGUGAAACACUGUAAACAGAAUGGGUCAAAGGAAGGAGAGGCACACAAUUUCAGCCAAGGCCGCAAAGCCAGAAUGAUCUGGAAAAUAUAACUACAGAAAACACAAUCAUUUGGAGUCUAACAUCUAAACAAACCACCAUACAGUUCUUAAUUGGGGAGUGGGGAGUGGGGGUGGGUCAAAGCUAUAUUUAACAACAAACUCAAUUCAAAACCAACUACAUAUUUAUUCUUUCCAUAAAGUAUUGCUGGCAACGUCUUAUUUGCUGUGUCCAAAAUUAGGAAUAGCAUAAAUAAAUGUAACUUUAAAAAUGAAAGAUAUGAUUCUGUGUUUUAAUACUGAAAAAGCAUGACUUUGCACAUGUACUCACCCUAUUAUAUAACUGAACAGUGUGGAGAAAAGAGUAUAUUUAAUGUAAAAGAAAAAAACCUCUGCCCCUGAGAAGUCCAAAUUCUAAAAAUGAUUUAAUCCACCAACUGUGAAAAAAGCAAGGCUUUGAACAUCUCAGCAUACCUGGAGUCCAUCACCUUGUCAGUCACUUAUUGCUACUGUGACUGCCACCAGGGGACAGUCUGCAUGGCCAGAAAUAUUAAUUACUCCCAGGUGAAAACGGAAUUAUAUUUAAUACUCCUUUACUCCCAACCCUAGCAUUCUCCAAAGUCAAGUGAAGAGAUGGGCAGGCUUGGGAAUCUAAAGCUAUUAUGCUUCAAAAGGUGACACAUUCCCAUUAACCACCAUAAGUUCUGCUAUAUCUGGGAAGAGGUCACUCUUUGAAAUUCUAUAUGCAAUUUUGGGCAAUAGAAUGGUGUUCUUUUUUUUUCUUCAACC
rnacentral:lncRNA from 1 species